rnacentral:rRNA from 1 species
GACGAACGCUGGCGGCGUGCUUAACACAUGCAAGUCGAACGGAAAGGCCCUGCUUUUGUGGGGUGCUCGAGUGGCGAACGGGUGAGUAACACGUGAGUAACCUGCCCUUGACUUUGGGAUAACUUCAGGAAACUGGGGCUAAUACCGGAUAGGAGCUCCUGCUGCAUGGUGGGGGUUGGAAAGUUUCGGCGGUUGGGGAUGGACUCGCGGCUUAUCAGCUUGUUGGUGGGGUAGUGGCUUACCAAGGCUUUGACGGGUAGCCGGCCUGGGGGGGGGACCGGCACAAGUGGGAUGGGGAAAGGGCCCGGACGCCACGGGGGGGAAGGGGGGGGGAAUUGUGGAAAAGGGGCGGAGGGAGGGAGGAAGAUCCCCGGGUGGGGAAAGUCGGCUUUGGGGGUGUAACCCGUUUUUGCCUGGGAGUGAGCGGGGGGGAGGUAAAUGGGUAAAAAGGCACGGGCUAACUCGGG